rnacentral:rRNA from 1 species
UUUCGCAAUGCCCGAAAGGGUGACGAAGCGACGCCGCGUGGGUGAGGAAGGCCCUCGGGUUGUAAAGCCCUGUCAGGAGUUAAGAAAUGUAGAUUCGCUAAUAUCGGGUCUAUUUGACGAAGGCUCCAAAGGAAGCCACGGCUAACUCUGUGCCAGCAGCCGCGGUAAUACAGAGGUGGCAAGCGUUGUUCGGAAUUAUUGGGCGUAAAGAGCACGUAGGUGGAUUUGUAAGUCAGAUGUGAAAGCCUUCUGUUCAACGGGAGAAUUGCAUCUGAAACUACAGACCUUGAGUAUAGGAGGGGAGAAUGGAACUUCUGGUGGAGCGGUGAAAUGCGUAGAUAUCAGAAGGAACGUCGGCGGCGAAAGCGACUCUCUGGCCUAUUACUGACACUGAGGUGCGAAAGUUAGGGGAGCAAACGGGAUUAGAUACCCCGGUAGUCCUAACCGUAAACGAUGGGCACUAAGUAGAGGGGUUUUA